CAACUUUCGUUAUUGUUCUUUAAGUUCCAUGUGACGGCCACACCAUCCAUCAAAAGUCAACCAAGACCCUGGUCAGUGUGUAAGGAGUGCCAGCUCUAGGACAAUCAGACAGGAAGGGAAACCAAUACACAGCUUACAGAGCGCCAGGACAGGUCAAGAGGUGGACAUUGAAGCUGAUCUUGAGAAACUGGCUGCUAAAGUAGAACUGUCAGUAUACACUAAUACCAAUCAGUUGGAUAAACUACACCUUCGAGUUCGUGAGCUUCAAGAUGACACGAGAGCGGACCAAGGAAAGGGUUACAUAGGCGUUCCAAAUCAAGCUUAUUCUUUUAUAUUCUUUAAAAGAAACCUUUUUGAAAGUUAUAUUGAAUGAAUUGAAAUCGAAAAGAUAUUAUUUUCAUGAAAGCGAUAAAAUAAUUAAGUAGUCAGUAACGAAGUACAAACGCUAUUGCAAAUGUUAAAUAUUAAAGAGAAUUGAUGACAAGGAAGAUUUUCUAUCCGAGUUCAAUUGAAAUUUCUGUAAGUUCAUGACUUUUUGAAGCUACCCAUACAUACGUGUGUAAUUUUGGACAUUAUUACCAUGAGGGAAAUAAUUUAAACCCAUUUCUAUUAUGUGUUCUGUUUUUUAAUGUUAGUAAGACGAGCGGCUGACCCGAACAUUGGCUUAGAUGCUCUUGUGGUAGAUGUCAAUACCAAUCUUGGUGAUCAACAGGCAAUUCUCUUCGACAACGUACAAACAAACCAGGGCUCUGGUUACAACCCUGCCAGUGGAAAAUUCACCUGUCCAAAGAGUGGUUCUAUCAGUUUGCAUCAACCAUCCCGUCCCAAUUGAACGGCACCGUCGACUGUGAAAUGGUCAUGGACAACGUUCAAGUUGGACGUCUCCGAGCUUAUCAUCCGGGGUUUGACCAGGCGACACAGGUAUUGGUUCUUGAAUGUAGGACCGAACAACAGGUGUGGCUCCGACAUUUCCAUGGAGCUAAUGACACCGGUAUUCUCUCCUCAACUCACAGACA